CAGUCGCCGCGGUAAUACGUAGGUGGCAAGCGUUGUCCGGAAUUAUUGGGCGUAAAGGGCUCGCAGGCGGUUUCUUAAGUCUGAUGUGAAAGCCCCCGGCUCAACCGGGGAGGGUCAUUGGAAACUGGGAAACUUGAGUGCAGAGGAGGAGAGUGGAAUUCCACGUGUAGCGGUGAAAUGCGUAGAGAUGUGGAGGAACACCAGUGGCGAAGGCGACUCUCUGGUCUGUAACUGACGCUGAGGAGCGAAAGCGUGGGGAGCGAACAGGAUUAGAUACCCCAGUAGUCCCUGUCUCUUAUAC
rnacentral:rRNA from 1 species